rnacentral:rRNA from 1 species
UACAGUGGGGGCAAGCGUUGUCCGGAAUUAUUGGGCGUAAAGAGCUCGUAGGCGGUUUGUUGCGUCGGCUGUGAAAUCCCGAGGCUCAACCUCGGGUCUGCAGUCGAUACGAGCAAACUAGAGUGUUGCAGGGGAGACUGGAAUUCCUGGUGUAGCGGUGAAAUGCGCAGAUAUCAGGAGGAACACCGGUGGCGAAGGCGGGUCUCUGGGCAACAACUGACGCUGAGGAGCGAAAGCGUGGGGAGCGAACAGG